rnacentral:rRNA from 1 species
AACGAACGCUGGCGGCAUGCCUAACACAUGCAAGUCGAACGAGACCUUCGGGUCUAGUGGCGCACGGGUGCGUAACGCGUGGGAACCUGCCCUUAGGUUCGGAAUAACUCCCCGAAAGGGGUGCUAAUACCGGAUAAUGUCUUCGGACCAAAGAUUGAUCGCCCUUGGAUGGGCCCGCGUUGGAUUAGCUAGUUGGUAGGGUAAAAGCCUACCAAGGCGACGAUACAUAGCUGGUCUGAGAGGAUGAUCAGCCACACUGGGACUGAGACACGGCCCAGACUCCUACGGGAGGCAGCAGUGGGGAAUAUUGGACAAUGGGCGAAAGCCUGAUCCAGCAAUGCCGCGUGAGUGAUGAAGGCCUUAGGGUUGUAAAGCUCUUUUACCCGGGAUGAUAAUGACAGUACCGGGAGAAUAAGCGCCGGCUAACUCCGUG